rnacentral:lncRNA from 1 species
CCAAUUAUUCAGGGAAAAUAGUUCUAGGGAAACAACAACCCUCAAAAGGAUAGAUUUUCAAGACACGCCUGGAUCUGAUGGGCUUAGCAGGUUUUCGUUUUCAGGCGGCUUCACGUCCCAGGCGUCAAAAUUGGCCCGCAUAUUUGAGAAACAAAGAGGACAGGAAAACUACCCAUUCAAGUCUCCAAGUGCUCAUUUCGUAUUGAAAAAUUAAGAGGGACAACAACAUAAAACCAAACAUUGCAGGUUACACGUUCCCACAAAUUUGAAAUUAUUCAAGCUAAAUUAAUGAGCAUUUGCAUGGACCUCGAACUUCAAUUUCAUACCCUUUUUCAUGCAUACAACAGUAGAAACAAACUUCAAGGAUUUUCAAAUGGACAAUCUAACAUUAAAAUUAACCUAAACAUGCCUACAACUAUGCCAAAGUAAUUUCUGUACAUGGAUAGACCAUUAAGGUCAUUAGCCAAGCCAUUUUAAUUAAGUGUCUGUAAAUUAACGAAUGACCUUAAAAGCAUCAAUGCUUUUUUAAAAAGCAUAAUAACACAUAAUCUCCAAGCACUAUAUUUCAAACCAUGAAAGAACAGAUUUACUAACUAUUUCCUAAUCAGAUGAUCCAUUUAACAGUCCAAACAGCUUGAGUUAUCACACUUAGACAGAUUUGAAUCCAAAUAACAAUGACACACGACAUCAAACAUGAAAAUGAAUAAUUAGAGUCCAUUUUUUACUUAUUAAUACAGAUGCAAAAUACCACAUUAAGCAUUUUCACACACCCAAUUUCAAAGUAAAAGACCCUAACUAACAUCUAUAACUUGAAGUCUAAUUAUGGAACAUAG